rnacentral:rRNA from 1 species
UCCUUCGGGAACUGGAGAGUGGCGCACGGGUGAGUAACGCGUGGGGACCUACCUCUUAGUGGGGGAUAACGGUUGGAAACGACCGCUAAUACCGCAUACGCCCUUCGGGGGAAAGAUUUAUCGCUAAGAGAUGGACCCGCGUUGGAUUAGAUAGUUGGUGAGGUAACGGCUCACCAAGUCAGCGAUCCAUAGCUGGUUUGAGAGGAUGAUCAGCCACACUGGGACUGAGACACGGCCCAGACUCCUACGGGAGGCAGCAGUGGGGAAUAUUGGACAAUGGGGGCAACCCUGAUCCAGCCAUGCCGCGUGAGUGAAGAAGGCCUUCGGGUUGUAAAGCUCUUUCAGAUGCGAAGAUGAUGACGGUAACAUCAUAAGAAGCCCCGGCUAAUUUCGUGCCAGCAGCCGCGGUAAUACGAAAGGGGCUAGCGUUGUUCGGAUUUACUGGGCGUAAAGGGCACGCAGGCGGUCUUGCCAGUCAGGGGUGAAAGCCCGAGGCUCAACCUCGGAACUGCCUCUGAUACUGUAAGACUUG